rnacentral:rRNA from 1 species
CCUACGGGUGGCAGCAGUGGGGAAUAUUGGACAAUGGGCGAAAGCCUGAUCCAGCCAUGCCGCGUGUGUGAAGAAGGCCUUCGGGUUGUAAAGCACUUUCAGUGGGGAAGAAAGCCUUGGGGCUAAUACCCUCGAGGAAGGACAUCACCCACAGAAGAAGCACCGGCUAACUCCGUGCCAGCAGCCGCGGUAAUACGGAGGGUGCGAGCGUUAAUCGGAAUUACUGGGCGUAAAGCGCGCGUAGGCGGUCUGAUAAGCCGGUUGUGAAAGCCCCGGGCUCAACCUGGGAACGGCAUCCGGAACUGUCAGGCUAGAGUGCAGGAGAGGAAGGUAGAAUUCCCGGUGUAGCGGUGAAAUGCGUAGAGAUCGGGCGGAAUACCAGUGGCGAAGGCGGCCUUCUGGACUGACACUGACGCUGAGGUGCGAAAGCGUGGGUAGCAAACAGGAUUAGAUACCCUAGUAGUC